rnacentral:rRNA from 1 species
UACGUAGGGUGCAGGCGUUAAUCGGAAUUACUGGGCGUAAAGCGUGCGCAGGCGGUUUUGUAAGCCAGAUGUGAAAUCCCCGGGCUUAACCUGGGAAUGGCAUUUGGGACUGCAAGGCUUGAGUGCGGCAGAGGAGACUGGAAUUCCUGGUGUAGCAGUGAAAUGCGUAGAUAUCAGGAGGAACACCGAUGGCGAAGGCGACGUUUCUGGCCUAUAACUGACGCUGAGGCGCGAAAGCGUGGGGAGCGAACAGG